UGGGGAAUCUUAGACAAUGGGGGAAACCCUGAUCUAGCCAUGCCGCGUGAGUGACGAAGGCCUUAGGGUCGUAAAGCUCUUUCGCCAGGGAUGAUAAUGACAGUACCUGGUAAAGAAACCCCGGCUAACUCCGUGCCAGCAGCCGCGGUAAUACGGAGGGGGUUAGCGUUGUUCGGAAUUACUGGGCGUAAAGCGCACGUAGGCGGACUAUUAAGUCAGGGGUGAAAUCCCGGGGCUCAACCCCGGAACUGCCUUUGAUACUGGUAGUCUUGAGUUCGAGAGAGGUGAGUGGAAUUCCGAGUGUAGAGGUGAAAUUCGUAGAUAUUGGGAGGAAUACCGGUGGCGAAGGCGACCGCCUGGACGGGUACUGACACUGAGGCGCGAAAGCGUGGGGAGCAAACAGGAUUAGAUACCCCCGUAGUCC
rnacentral:rRNA from 1 species